AUUGAACGCUGGCGGCAUGCUUUACACAUGCAAGUCGAACGGUAACAGGCCGCAAGGUGCUGACGAGUGGCGCACGGGUGAGUAAUGCAUCGGAACGUGCCCAGUCGUGGGGGAUAACUACUCGAAAGAGUAGCUAAUACCGCAUACGAUCUAUGGAUGAAAGCGGGGGACCGUAAGGCCUCGCGCGAUUGGGGCGGCCGAUGUCAGAUUAGGGAGUUGGUGGGGUAAAGGCGCACCAAGCCAACGAUCUGUAGCUGGUCUGAGAGGACGACCGGCCACAUUGGGAAGGAGACGAGGCCCAAACGCCUACGGGCGGGAGCAGUAGGGAAGCGUCGGCGAAGGACGAAAGUCUGAACGAGCAACGCGGCGGGAGUGAAGAAGGGCUGCGGAUCGUAAAACUCGGUUGGGAGAGAAGAACGGGGGUGAGAGUGGAAAGCGCAGCAAGUGACGGUAACUGCCCAGAAAGGGACGGCUAACGACGUG
rnacentral:rRNA from 1 species